UAAAUCUUAUGCUUAGCCCUGAAGCCACAAAUCCUGAAAGCAAAUCCCAUACCCAGGAUCCACAGUAUGGACCUGAGUCCAUCUGGCCCAACCCUGCUGGAGAAAGGACAGCCAGAGCAGGGUGCCCAGCUUCAGUCCAGGUGGCUUUUGGAGAUCUCCAAGUAGGAGAUUCCAGAAUGUCUCUGGGCAACUGUUCUGUUGCUCAGUACUCCAUCCCUCUUUACCUGGGGUACCUCUAGUUUUGCACCAUGCGCCUUUGCAGUAGCAGCAGAGGGACAAGAGGGGCUGUGACUCCUAUCUCAGGAGCAUGAUGAGGACCACAGCCCUUCCUGCUUAUAGCAAGGCCAUCUUCUGCCCUUUCCUGCUUGAGUCACAGCAGGCUGAUCUUUGGAGAUGGCCCUGAUGUCCUUCCAGGAUUUAUCCUAGCUGAGGGCUUCAUAAACAUCAGCUGUUAGCUCCCAAAGAAGCCAAGCCGAGUAAUCUCUCUCCCCUUCUGCUGCCUUCCCCCUCCAUGUUGUGAUCUGAUUGAUAAACCAGCAAUAUACAAGGCUGGCUUGGUUUGCAAAUGGAGACACCAGGAAUGGGUUGUAGAGGGAUGCUAUCGGCGUUGAUCCAGGGAGGACUUUCUGGUCCGGUGAGCCUGGGAAGCCUGAAAUGACUCUUCAUAAACAGGUCUGUAAAGUUCAGGAGAAAAAUGGACUUUCCCCUGCAUCAGAAACUUGGAUGUAAGGUCAGACUGCAAUGAAGACACAGAAGUGAACCUGACUCAGGAAAAAAGUAAAUGCAACUGAUUUGGAGUCCUUGAGUCAGGUUAAUUUGAUGUGCAAUUCUCUUGAAAAUCCUCUUGAGCACAGCCAGGUUUUGGCUUUUGAAGGCAAAAGACCCCAGUUCAACAUUCUCCAUUUUGCAUCCAAAGAGGAAAGGAAAUCCAUCUUCAUGUGCAGGAGAACAUGGACACCACAUCAGUGGAUUGGAAUAAAUACCAGCAUAAGCUCUCUGGUGAUCUCAAAGCUCACACGGUCUCUUUUCUCUCUUAUUCCACCAACUCACUAUAAAUGCUGUGUUUU